rnacentral:rRNA from 1 species
CGGCGCACGGGUGAGUAACGCGUAUGCAACCUACCUUGUACAGGGGGAUAGCCCGGAGAAAUCCGGAUUAAUACCGCAUAAUAUGAUUGAUUCGCAUGGAUUAAUUAUUAAAACUUCGGUGGUACAAGAUGGGCAUGCGUAGCAUUAGUUAGUUGGUAAGGUAACGGCUUACCAAGACGAUGAUGCUUAGGGGGUCUGAGAGGAUAGUCCCCCACACUGGUACUGAGACACGGACCAGACUCCUACGGGAGGCAGCAGUGAGGAAUAUUGGUCAAUGGGCGCAAGCCUGAACCAGCCAUGUCGCGUGCAGGAUGACGGCCCUAUGGGUUGUAAACUGCUUUUUACGGGAAUAAUUGUUUCUACGUGUAGAGAUUUGAAGGUACCGUAUGAAUAAGGAUCGGCUAACUCCGUGCCAGCAGCCGCGGUAAUACGGAGGAUUCGAGCGUUAUCCGGAUUUAUUGGGUUUAAAGGGUCCGUAGGCGGGCAAUUAAGUCAGUGGUGAAAUCCCAGAGCUCAACUCUGGAACUGCCAUUGAUACUGGUUGUCUUGAAUUUAGUUGAGGUGGGCGGAAUACGUUAUGUAGCGGUGAAAUGCAUAGAUAUAACGUAGAACACCGAUUGCGAAGGCAGCUCACUAAACUAAUAUUGACGCUGAUGGACGAAAGCGUGGGGAGCGAACAGGAUUAGAUACCCUGGUAGUCCACGCCGUAAAACGAUGAUUACUCGUUGUGCACGAUACAUUGUGCGUGA